CCUGCCUCUAGAGGUGUUGUCUGUGACUGCCAUGUCACAUGUGUGUCAGUAGGUGGCAGAGAGGGAGAAACUAUGUCUAAGCUCAGCGUUCUGAUCCUUGAACAUCUGAAUGAAUAGUAGCCCAACAUU
ensembl:snoRNA LOC120103302 small nucleolar RNA SNORA17